rnacentral:lncRNA from 1 species
CUAAGAACAUGGAACCUAUUAGUCGUGAAACUUUUAUGGUUGAGUCCAAACCAAACCUAAAUCCAAAAUUUUUCAAUUUCAAUAAGAAACCUGGACACAAAAAAAGUUUGAACUUUAAAGAUAAAAUGAAAACCAAGACUAAGGGUAAAAAAUGUUUCUACAGUCUAGGUGAAGAUUAUUUUAUCAAAGAAUAUCAUAAGAGACUUAAUGACUUGAAGAAUAAGUCUAAUAAUGAUGGUGGUGCUGCUUUAGCCUAUAAUAAUGAGUCCAACCUAGAUGAGGUCUAUGUUGCUGUACACACUCUACCUAGUCAGGAGUGGAUCCUUGACUCCUAUUGUACCUUUAACAUGUGUUCUAAAAGAGAGUUGCUUACUGAGUUUGAAAAUAUAAAUGGAGGUCAAGUGUUAAUGGGUAAUCACGUUUUGUCAGGUAAAAGGAAUAGGAUCAGUUACCUUAAGGCUUGAUGGUAAUAAUGAAUUGAUCUUAGAAAAGACUAGGUAUGUUCCUGACCUAUAAAGAAAUUUGAUAUCCUUAGUGUCCUAGAUGACCUGAACUAAAAUAUUGUGAUUAACAAGGGAUGCAUUAAAAUCUUGAGGGGCUCUCAACUUGUUGCUGAAUCCUGCAAAAGACAUGGGCUUUACAUUUUACACACUCAAAACUUUUUUGACUCCACAUCAGCAGCAAUUUUUGCCCCCAGUGAUAAGUCAUAAUUAUGGAAUAAAAGAUUGGGCCAUAUUAGUAACAAAGGCUUACAGAUUUUGAAAAAACAAGGUGCUUUUGGUAAAGACAUAAUUGAGAAACUCAGUUUUUGUGAUCGUUGCGUACUCGGAAAGAAAAAUAGAUUACCAUUUCUGUCUAGGAUGCAUAAAUCCGUGUCUAUUCUUGAGUAUUUGCAUGCUGAUCUUUGGGGACCAGCUUCUGUCCCCACACAUACUGGUUUCGAAUUUUUCCUUUUAAUCAUAGAUGAUUUUUCUUGGAAAAUUGGCUCUUUCAGCUUAAACAUAAGUCUGACAAUUUUAAAGACUUUAAAGAGUGGAAAAUCUUGAUCGAGAAUCAAACAAAUAAAAAGAUUAAAGUACUGAGGAUUGAUAAUGGGCCUGAGUUCUGUAAUUAUGAAUUUGUUGAAUUGUGCAAAGUACAUGAUAUUCUAAGACAUAGAACAGUAAUACAUACCCCACAACAAAAUGACUUGGCUGAAAGAAUGAACCGAACUAUUCUUGAGAGAGUUAGAUACAUAUUAUUAGAUUCUGAUCUUCCCAAGUUAUUUUGGGGAGAAGCUGCAAAAACUGAUGGUUAUCUCAUAAAAAGAAGCCCCACUAAUACUAUACAAUUUAAAUCCACUGAAGAAGUUUGGACAAGAAAACCUGUAGAUUCAAGUAAUUUGAAAAUAUUUGGUUGUGCAACCUUUGCACACCAAUCUGAAGGGAAACUUGAACCUAGAGCCUUUAAGUGUAUUUUUUUGGGCUAUGAUGAAGGGGUAAAGGGGUAUAGACUUUGGGUAAAAGAGACCAAAUGUUAUAAGAUCAUUUUGAGUAGAAAUGUAGUGUUUAACGAGUUUGAUCUGCCUUGUUUAAAAUCUGAAAAUAAGACUAAUGAAUUUGGUCAGACUAACAAUGAAGGAAGGGAAACUGAAAUUGAGGUGGAACAAGUUAAUAAUGAUAAUCUACAACCUGAUUAAACUAAAAAUAGUGAGAUUGAGGCUCAAAAUAUUAAUGAAAAUGAUCAAAAUGAAUUUGAUUUUGAAGUUAAUCAACCCUUAAAUGAUUAUCAACUUGCUAGAGAUAGAGAAAAGAGAGAAAUAAGACUACCUGUGAGAUUUGAUGAUGAAAUAUAUCUUCUUACUAUUCAGGGGUUCAUUGAGAAUGAACCUAUAAAGAUGCUAUGAGUAGCAAGGACUCUAAGUAUUGGCUAGCUGUAAUGCAUGGUGAGAUGGAAUCUUUGAGGAAGAAUAAAACUUGGACCUUAGUUAAGAGACCUAAGGGAAAGAGAGUUAUAGAUUGCAAGUGGAUCUAUAAAAUCAAAAGAGGUGAAAAAGAUGAGAACGACAUUAGAUAUAAAGCAAGACUUGUGGGUAAGGGUUUUGCUCAAAAGAAAGGGAUAGACUUUAAUGAAAUAGUUUCCACCGUUGUAAAAUUUACAACUGUUAGAGUCAUACUUGCCGUUGUAGCUCAAUUUAAUUGGGAAUUGGAUCAAUCAAAUGUAAAAAUUACAUUUUUAAAUGAAGAUCUUGAAGAAACCAUUUUUAUGGAACAACCUAAAGGCUUUGAAGUAAAUAAAAAUUUAGACUUAAUAUGCCUUCUUAAGAUGUCACUUUAUGGUUUAAAACAAACUCCAAGACAAUGGUACAAGAGAUUUGACAUAUUUGUGCUUGAACUUGGUUUUAAAAGAAGCAAUUUCGAUACUUGUCUUUAUUGUAAAGGAAACGGAGGUGAGAAUUCACUCUAUCUUCUACUUUACGUGGAUGACAUGAUUUUAGCAAGUCAUGACAUAAAAGAAAUAGAGUCAAUUAAAGAUAAAUUAAAAUUUGAAUUUGAAAUAAAAGACUUAGGCCCUGUUAAAAAAAUUUUGGGUAUCGAAAUUAAAAGAAAUAGAAGAAAUGGCACAAUAUGUCUAAGUAAAAAAUCUUAUGCGUUGAAAGUACUUGAAAGAUUUGCAAUGUCUAAUGCUAAAAGUGUGAGUCUACCUUUAACUAAUAAUUUCAAAUUAUCUAAUGAUCAAUGUCACAAAACUUAAGAAGAGUUUAAAAGAAUGGCUAGAGUGCCAUAUUCUAAUUCUGUGGGAUCAGUUGUGUAUCUAAUGAUUUGUUCUAGAUCUGAUUAGGC